rnacentral:rRNA from 1 species
GAUGAACGCUGGCGGCGUGCUUAAUACAUGCAAGUUGAACGAAGUGGCGGAUGGGCGAGUAACACGUGAGGAACCUGCCUUUCACAGGGGAAUAACACUGGGAAACCAGUGCUAAUACCGCAUAGUGAACGAUGGCCUCGCGCCUGGUUAGCUAGUAGGUGAGGUAACGGCUCACCUAGGUGAUGAUCAGUAGCCGGACUGAAGGUUGAGCGGCCGCAGUGGGACUGGGACACGGCCCAGGGUCCUACGGGGUACGGCAGGGAUGAAUGUUGGGCAAAGGCGCAAGCCUGACCCAGCAUCGCCGCGUGAAGGAAGACGGUCUUCGGAUUGUAAACUUCUUAAGCAGGGACGCGGUACCUAUAGAGAAAGCCACGGCUAACUACGUGCCAGCAGCCGCGGUAAUAC